GCGGGAAAGGGGGGCGCGGCGAGAGGGGGCGCUCGCGGCCCCUGCGGUGAUUUCCUGCUACCCGGGCGGGGGUGCCAACCCCGGUGCCGUUCAUGACCUCCUCAUGAACCCGGCGCGAGCGGGUAAACUGAGGCUGGACGGGCGCCGGCCCGGGAAGCUUCCAGAUUAAAUGUCCCCUCCGUUUAACUGACCACCUCCCUCACAUCGGUCGUCCUGACAUGGACCAUGACCCCAUCCUUCAACGAUGCCCGGUACAUAGCCCACCAAGUGACUACGUGGCGAGGAUGACCUGUGGUUCCCCAGCACCUCCACACACCCUGCCCAGUCCACCACGAGGCACCCACGGGGCUUCAAAUAAAGUUUAAUAAAUAAAACAGCAAGAGAUUCAAGGCAGUUUUCACUUCACAGUGUGGUCCUUGGUGGAGUGACAGGGAAGGUUGAGUCCAACUCUGCAGAUGGGCUCGAGCCAAAACUCUCCUGAUGACACCCAAUGGCUGGGGGUGCUGCCCUGCCCCCCUGGAGGACCCCACUCCAAUUUGUAAACAGAAACAUAAAUAAAAAGAGGGAGGUGGGGG